UACGGAGGGUGCGAGCGUUGUCCGGAUUUAUUGGGUUUAAAGGGUGCGUAGGUGGCUUUAUAAGUCAGUGGUGAAAUACAGCCGCUCAACGGUUGAGGUGCCAUUGAUACUGUAGAGCUUGAAACAAUUGGAGGCUGCCGGAAUGGAUGGUGUAGCGGUGAAAUGCAUAGAUAUCAUCCAGAACACCGAUUGCGAAGGCAGGUGGCUACGUUUGAUUUGACACUGAGGCACGAAAGCAUGGGGAGCAAACAGG
rnacentral:rRNA from 1 species